rnacentral:tRNA from 1 species
UCUCUGGUGGCUCAGAUGAUAAAGAAUCUGUCUGUAAUGCAGAAGACACGGGUUCAAUCCCUGGCCUGGGAA